UAACCUUUUUUCUUUUUUUUUUUUUUCUUUGCUUCUACUUUUAUUUGUCUUGCUUUGUUUUUCUUGUUAUUAGUUGGUCUUUCGGGUGACUUUUGACAUCUGAGCGAUAUACAUAGAAAAAUAAAUGAAUGCAUAUUAAAAAAAGGCACACUAAGAAUUCCGCUUUGUCGACUUUGGAUCAUAAAGAACAAAUUUCGACAGAGUGGUCAAGACUUUCGAUUAAAUAAGUGCAUACAAUAGAUUUUUAUCUAAGCAUUUUACAAAAUUAUUGGGAAUCACGGUUAGGAGCAUCAACACAUUCAUCUUGUCUGCAACGAUAUGGCCAAGUAACACCAAACUCAGGAAGAAUAUCACGUUGAGAUUUAAAAACCUGAAGCCUGCAACUUUGGACAGAAGCUGCAUGUUUUGGGAUACUUUCGACAACAGAUGGUCAGCGCAAGGAUGUCUCCUAAAAUCUAGGAACGAAACUUACACCGAGUGCAGCUGCAAUCAUCGGACUCACUUCGCAGUUCUUAUGCAGUUUGACGGUGGAACAAGCGGUAACAGUUUAACCAAGACUGACGAAAAGGCGCUC